rnacentral:rRNA from 1 species
AUGCUAACCUCGCUGAGGACAUUGAUUGUAAAAGAAUCAGUUGGUCUAGUUGGACCACUAGGAGGAGGUCAGAGUGAUGUGGAAUGGCAGCUCCCUGUUGAGUAUAUCAAGAUCUACAAAUUAAAUGGUAAUACUGGCAAGGAACUGACAGAGCUCCUCCCCCACCUCCCAAAGCUCUCCAAAUUGGUAAUAUGGUGGUGUAAAAGCAUAAAAAAGCUGGUAGUGGGGGUGGAUGUGCAACAAACAACACAAGAAGCAUCAGAGAUGGGGGGAGGUGAAAUAACAGCAGCAGCAGAGGAAGAGGAUGAUGGGGUGCUGCUCCUCCCAGCUCAUCUCUGUGACUCACUACGGGAAUUGUGGUUCAAUUACUGCCCAGAGCUGGUCCUGGUUGACCCUCCAACUCUUGUUCCUGGUGGAGGAUGGCUCCAAGCCUUGCGAUCCCUCCAGAGAUUAACAAUACGGUGGUCCCCAAAGUUUCUAUCCACCUUCUCCUUUUCCCGUUACCUUUUUCCUUCCUCCCUGCAGUUCCUGGAGCUUGUGGGUGUGCAAGGUAUGGGAACACUGGAGCCCCUCUCAAACCUCUCCUCUCUUAUCAGAUUAGAAUUGGGUAAUUGUGGAGAGGAUCUGAAAUGUCAGGUCUUGUGGUCUCUCAUUACCACCGGCGGCCAACUCAAGGAAUUAGAAGUCAGGGGCAGCCAUAGAUUUUUUGCUGAUCGGGAUCCCAAUCCCAGACGGGCUUUGGAGGAUGCUGAGGGAGGUGAAGAGCAGCAGACACAGAUUGUUUCAUCCACACUGCAUGAGCUCGGGACAGAUGACAUAGCAGGAUUUCUUGCUGCACCUGUCUGUAGAUUCCUCUCUUCCUCCCUCACCAAGCUGAAACUUCGAGGGAAUUGGUGUGAAGGGAUGGAGCGGUUCAGCAAGGAGCAAGAGGACGCCCUUCAACUCCUCUCCUCCCUCCAGGAACUUGACUUUUCAUGUUUCAAGGACCUUCACCAACUCCCUGCAGGGAUGAGCAACCUUACCAGCCUCAAGAAAUUAACAAUCUAUGAAUGUCCAGCCCUCUCAUCAUUGCCCAAGGAUGGCCUCCCCAAAUCACUGCAAGAGCUAAAUGUCGGAUUGUGCAGCAACCAGCAGAUAAGACGGGAGUGCCGCGGAUUAGAGGGAACCAUCCCGAAAAUCGUACUAUAA